rnacentral:lncRNA from 1 species
CUGAGUUCUGAGUGUAGAACACCAAGAGAUAGAGAAGCCUUGAGCUCACACAAGCAGAGUUCUGUGCAGGGAGAUGUCUCAGAAAAAGUGUUUCUUUAGCCCUCUCCCUGACUUGCAUCCUCAUGAGACUCUUAAACCCCCUCCUGACCUUCAGAGAUGUUUAUCAUCAGAGAUGGGUUAUGGAAGUGAUCCUAUAGAACCUGAGAGAUUGCUUAACUCAAACUCUGCUUCUACAUUAGAGUGUCUUCUGAAAAAUGACCUCAACAAAAUUUGCUAUCUACCUAUUUACUAACAUAAAUGAGGAAACCAAAAAGGUCAACGGUGAGGCAGGAAGGUUUCAGUUCAGUGGAGAAAAGAAAAUCUUGAUGAAAUGUCAUUAACUUCCAUAUUUGGAAUAAGCUAUAAAAGAGUGUCUACUGUGUACUCAAUGUCUUCUAGGCACUAGGAUACAGCAGUGAACAACAACAACAACAGCAAAACAAAAUCCAAGCCCUCAAGAAACUUACUCCUUGGACUACGUGUCUUUCCCCAGGACUAUAUGCCGUUCCCUUUCCAGGACUAUGUGUCUUUCCGCAGGACUAUAUGCCAUUCCCCAAGUGCCAUUCGGAAAUUAUUCAUAAAAUUUAUGUAGAAACGAAAGGUUCAAAAAUAGCAAAGACACUUGAAGAACCAGGUAGGAAGGACUUGUUCUACCAGCUAUUGAUUUAUUAUAUUAUUACUCCAAUUAAGACACCGAGAUUGUCAUCAAUAUUGAAAAAUAGAUCAGAAGCAACAAAUUAAAAAUCCAGAAACCAGUCAUUUUUCCAUACUAAUUUGGUCUCAAUGAGAACAACAUAAUUCUCAUUCAUCUCCCUGUAGAAGUUAUAUAUUUCCAAAGUGGUUCAAAUGUACUGAAAGCCAACUCACCACUAGGAAUUGAAUCAAAAUUGACCCACAGACGUACAACAUUAAGUUUGCUGCGAAGAUUUAAAUCAGUGGGACAUAAAAUAAAAAUUGUAUGCUAC